rnacentral:rRNA from 1 species
UGGGGAAUUUUGGACAAUGGGCGAAAGCCUGAUCCAGCAAUGCCGCGUGUGUGAAGAAGGCCUUCGGGUUGUAAAGCACUUUUGUCCGGAAAGAAAUCCUUGGCUCUAAUACAGUCGGGGGAUGACGGUACCGGAAGAAUAAGCACCGGCUAACUACGUGCCAGCAGCCGCGGUAAUACGUAGGGUGCAAGCGUUAAUCGGAAUUACUGGGCGUAAAGCGUGCGCAGGCGGUUUGCUAAGACCGAUGUGAAAUCCCCGGGCUCAACCUGGGAACUGCAUUGGUGACUGGCAGGCUAGAGUAUGGCAGAGGGGGGUAGAAUUCCACGUGUAGCAGUGAAAUGCGUAGAGAUGUGGAGGAAUACCGAUGGCGAAGGCAGCCCCCUGGGCCAAUACUGACGCUCAUGCACGAAAGCGUGGGGAGCAAACAGGAUUAGAUACCCUGGUAGUCCACGCCCUAAACGAUGUCAACUAGUUGUUGGGGACUUCAUUUUCCUUAGUAACGUAGCUAACGCGUGAAGUUGACCGCCUGGGGAGUACGGUCGCAAGAUUAAAACUCAAAUGAAUUGACGGGGUCAUAGCUG